UACGAAGGGGGGCUAGCGUUGCUCGGAAUCACUGGGCGUAAAGGGCGCGUAGGCGGCCAUUCAAGUCGGGGGUGAAAGCCUGUGGCUCAACCACAGAAUUGCCUUCGAUACUGUUUGGCUUGAGUAUGGUAGAGGUUGGUGGAACUGCGAGUGUAGAGGUGAAAUUCGUAGAUAUUCGCAAGAACACCGGUGGCGAAGGCGGCCAACUGGACCAUUACUGACGCUGAGGCGCGAAAAGCGUGGGGGAGCAAACAGG
rnacentral:rRNA from 1 species